rnacentral:rRNA from 1 species
GGCGAACGCUGGCGGCAGGCCUAACACAUGCAAGUCGAACGGACCCUUCGGGGUUAGUGGCGGACGGGUGAGUAACACGUGGGAACGUGCCUUUAGGUUCGGAAUAGCUCCUGGAAACGGGUGGUAAUGCCGAAAGUGCCCUUCGGGGGAAAGAUUUAUCGCCUUUAGAGCGGCCCGCGUCUGAUUAGCUAGUUGGUGAGGUAAUGGCUCACCAAGGCGACGAUCAGUAGCUGGUCUGAGAGGAUGACCAGCCACAUUGGGACUGAGACACGGCCCAAACUCCUACGGGGGGCAGCAGUGGGGAAUCUUGCGCAAUGGGCGAAAGCCUGACGCAGCCAUGCCGCGUGGAUGAUGAAGGUCUUAGGAUUGUAAAAUCCUUUCACCGGUGAAGAUAAUGACUGUAGCCGGAGAAGAAGCCCCGGCUAACUUCGUGCCAGCAGCCGCGGUAACAC